UAGAACAUACUUCACCUGGCAGUUCUCCUCUGAAAUUCCACAGCAAUGAAGAGAAUGCCAUGGAUAUGGCCAGGAAUAUCAGGGAACAGUUGCUGGCCUUGACUAAAAUAUCAUGGAGGAUACUUCUGCAAGCCAAAAAGGCCUGUUGUCUCAGUUAAGCAUACCUAAAUGGGAGUCCAGAGACCCAGAAUAAAACAGUCUUGGAAAGGGGGAUUAUUUCAGUUGGUGUCCAAUAUUCCAGUUACUGCAUCAAAAGGAAGAGGAGAACUCUAUCGCAUGUCACAUAUUAUUGCAUUAUUGUGAUAUUACUGAUCAUUAUGACCGCGGAAGUGGAAACUCAUUAAUUGUAGACAUGGCUCUACAACAUACGCUAGAAAACUGGAGGAAGAGGAACAUGGGAAAGAUUCACUAUACUUGCAGCUGCAGAUUGUGAGAUCCAAUGCUUUGACUGGAUCAAAAUGCUUCAGAUAAUAGUCACAGAACUGGCCAUACUUGGGAUUCGGUUUCGUUUUCUCGGCCAUGUCGGACGCUCCUCUCCGCAGGUCCGGGAGGAAGCGCCCGAGCACCCUGACCGGGUGGCUGAUCUGUGAAGAUUAGCCCCCAGGACUCCAGUGAGGGAGGCAGGGUCCGGAACGCUGCGGGAAGAGCCCCCUGAAAACCAAUGCGGGGGUAAAUUGCCCGUUUGUUCCUAUGGAGGCCGGCAGACGUGCGCGGCGCCUUGAGUGCUGCCGGGCCAUGGAAAACGGCAAAGAACAGAACUAGGCAGAAGCCUGUAAGUAAGCGAAUCCCUUCUGUUAUUACAAGCACACGCGAAGGAGUGGUGGGAUCUGAAGCUAAGAAGGCUCGUUCUUCCCCCUCGCUGAGUUUCAGAAUUCUGAAUACUGAAAGACGUCCCAUUUUUAGUUCGGAAAAGAAGAUUUAAGUAUAAAAAGCUCUCAGCUCUUCUGAGGGAACGUGGAAUAAAGUACAAAUGGCUAUUUCCGGAAGGUAUUUGGUUCAGUUUCAAAGAUCAAGCUUACAAGAUAAUAUCAGAAGAUCAACUAAGGGAUUUUGAGGACAAAAAUCCAGAAUUUCAGCAAGACACCAAGCAAGAAGAAAAGGCGAAGUCUGAAGGGGGUGGAGGAAACGAGCACUGCGGCUGCAGCUGCUCAGAGAGAAUUGCGUCCUGGGCCCAGGAGGGGGAGGAAGACUUAAUUUGAAUUGUAAUUUGUAUUUGGCAAGGUCAGCCACUCCAUCAAUAUCAUACAAAGCUGUAAUUUUUUUAAUAAUGGCAGUAUGAAGGGAAAGCAUUAUGUGCAGUGUAGUGUUGUUAUAUGUUGCUGUUUUUUUUCUUUCCUUCCC